CGCUGGCGGCGUGCCUAAUACAUGCAAGUCGAGCGGACGAAAUUGGUGCUUGCACCAAAUUUCGUUAGCGGCGGACGGGUGAGUAACACGUGGGUAACCUGCCCUACAGUCUGGGAUAACUUCGGGAAACCGGAGCUAAUACCGGAUAAUACUUUUUAACACAUGUUAGAAAGUUGAAAGAUGGUUCUGCUAUCACUGUAGGAUGGACCCGCGGCGCAUUAGCUAGUUGGUGAGGUAACGGCUCACCAAGGCAACGAUGCGUAGCCGACCUGAGAGGGUGAUCGGCCACACUGGGACUGAGACACGGCCCAGACUCCUACGGGAGGCAGCAGUAGGGAAUCUUCCACAAUGGGCGAAAGCCUGAUGGAGCAACGCCGCCGUGAGUGAAGAAGGAUUUCGGUUCGUAAAACUCUGUUGCAAGGGAAGAACAAGUAGUGUAGUAACUGGCGCUACCUUGACGGUACCUUGUUAGAAAGCCACGGCUAACUACGUGCCAGCCGCGGC
rnacentral:rRNA from 1 species